rnacentral:rRNA from 1 species
UUAGGAAUUUUGCGCAAUGGGCGAAAGCCUGACGCAGCAACGCCGCGUGAGGGAAGACGGCUUUCGGGUUGUAAACCUCUUUUAGCAGGGACGAACACAAUGACGGUACCUGCAGAAAAAGCACCGGCUAACUACGUGCCAGCAGCCGCGGUAAUACGUAGGGUGCAAGCGUUAUUCGGAUUUGUUGGGCGUAAAGCGCAUGUAGGCGGUUCGGUAAGUCUGGUGUGAAAGCCCUCGACUCAAUCGAGGAAGUGCAUUGGAUACUGUCGAACUGGAGUACAGGAGGGGUGAGCGGAAUUCCAGGUGUAGAGGUGAAAUUCGUAGAUAUCUGGAGGAACAACAGCGGCGAAGGCGGCUCACUGGACUGUAACUGACGCUCAGAUGCGAUAGUGUGGGGAGCAAACA